rnacentral:rRNA from 1 species
UGGGGAAUUUUGGACAAUGGGCGCAAGCCUGAUCCAGCCAUGCCGCGUGAGUGAAGAAGGCCUUCGGGUUGUAAAGCUCUUUCGGUGAAGACGAAACGGUUAGCGUUAAUAGCGCUGACUAAUGACGGUACUCACAGAAGAAGCACCGGCUAACUACGUGCCAGCAGCCGCGGUAAUACGUAGGGUGCAGGCGUUAAUCGGAAUUACUGGGCGUAAAGCGUGCGCAGGCGGUUUGCUAAGACAGGUGUGAAAUCCCCGGGCUUAACCUGGGAAUUGCGCUUGUAACUGGCAAGCUAGAGUGUGGCAGAGGGGGGUGGAAUUCCACGUGUAGCAGUGAAAUGCGUAGAUAUGUGGAGGAACACCGAUGGCGAAGGCAGCCCCCUGGGUUAACACUGACGCUCAGGCACGAAAGCGUGGGGAGCAAACAGG